rnacentral:rRNA from 1 species
UACAGAGGGUGCGAGCGUUAAUCGGAAUUACUGGGCGUAAAGCGUGCGUAGACGGUAGCGUAAGUCAGAUGUGAAAGCCCCGGGCUCAACCUGGGAAUGGCAUUUGAGACUGCUCUGCUCGGGUGCGGAAGAGGGAAGCGGAAUUUCCGGUGUAGCGGUGAAAUGCGUAGAUAUCGGAAGGAACACCAGUGGCGAAAGCGGCUUCCUGGUCCGACACCGACGUUCAGGCACGAAAGCGUGGGGAGCAAACAGG